rnacentral:rRNA from 1 species
CCCUGCCAUUUGUACACACCGCCCGUCGCACCUACCGAUUGGAUGGUCCGGUGAAGCCUCGGGAUUGUGACCAGCGCCUUUAUUGGUGUCGGUUGCGAGAACUUGUCUAAACCUUAUCAUCUAGAGGAAGGUGA